ensembl:lncRNA
AUUUAAAACAUGCUGCUGAUCAAAGUUAGAUAUCAGGACUGCAGGAAAUUUAUCAGACUUCAGGAUGGAUUCACUUUUGCAGAUUUUGUUAAUGAAGUCCACUAUAGGUUUGGCUUACCACCUGAGACAAAUCUACACAUUUAUGACGACACUGAAACUGAGAUAGACGAGGACAUUUUACAAGAUGUGCUCAUUGCGAGACCUGAUACAUCGCUUAUUAUUGUUAGAAGAGAGAAUGAAGAAAUGUUUUCAGAUGCAACAAGCAGCUCUUGGACCGACAUUUUGUCACUUAGUCAUUCAUCAUAUGAACUUGACCAAAUGCCAGAACACCCUUACAAGAAAUCUAAGACAAAUGAUGCAGCAGCUGAGGCAAAAGAGAUGGUUCGUAGUGCCCUAAAGCAGACAAGUGGAGGAGAUGCUGUCCUUGCUGAAUACAGUUCCAAAAAUACACUUUCAAGUGAAAUGAGACGAGUCCUAGUCAACAUUUUGGUUGGACAUAUGGUGGAAAUGCAUGGGUAA